GGGCGGAUAGCUCAGCCGGUUAGAGCGCUAUCUUCACACGGUAGAGGUCGCAGGUUCGAGUCCUGCUUCGCCCACCA
rnacentral:tRNA from 1 species